AUGACCGGGGAGCAGAGGGCCUUCCACCUCUGGAACGCAGGACUUCCACCCCUGUCUCCUCCUAUAAAUAGCUCCCUGCAUCCUCUAUCCCUCUCACCACCGCGGUCCUUCUCCUCUCAAAUCCACAUUGUUCUGUUCUUCCUAUCGCGAGGAAGUCAUUGUAGGAGGUUUUGGGUGAGAAGAAUUCCGGAGAACAUGGUGGCUAUGGGUGGGGAUGAAAGGCAGAGGAUGGAGGCUCCGGCAGGGGACAAGUUCCCGGAGGGGCUGCGCGUGCUCGCUGUGGACGACGACAGCGUCUGCCUCAAGGUACUGGAGGUCGUUCUGCGUUGCUGCAAAUACAACCCAACGACCGUGACGGACGCGAAGACAGCGUUGAAGAUGCUAAGGGCGGGAAGGCAGAGUUCGACCUGGUGA
rnacentral:rRNA from 1 species